ACCACAGCCUUGGGCUGGGCUCCGCGUCUCAACACUGAGGUGAUUCUCGGGGAGCAGGCUGGCUGUCCUGCCCAUCAUUAAGCUCAGAAUCACCAGAAUUCCCCACAGGCGUACUUCUCUGCCUCUGCCUAAGCCCACGGGGUUGCCACCCAUGGUGAGGGAGUCCACCUUCUUGGCAGCAGAAGUAUUCUUUGGGGGAAAUAUAAGUGGCAUGAGCUGCAUACCUCCUUUUCAAGGCACCCCACCUUGAUAUUCUGACAUCAUUGGCACUACAGGGUACUUUAUUAGACAGUCGACACUCAACCGCCAGGGCUUGCGCCUUUGAAUCUAAUUUACCUCCCACUCCCUUUUUGAACAAGAGAUACUACUCUAGAGAGUCUAAUUCCAAUAUACCUGAAUUGGUAGCUGUUGAAUUUCUUUGGGGAAUGGUUUUUCCCUCCCCAGAGACCCCUGGACUCUGUAACCAUGUAGUUUAACCCUUCCUCCCCUUUCUGACCCUAUUGGCUGAGUUCCAACUAUCUCUUCCUUAGCAGGAGCCUAGAUAAAGCCCUCUUCUUCCUCAUUCGUUCUCUUUCCCCCCUGGAAAUCAUCUAGAAUAAACGUCUUGGACUACAUCUGGGGGUUAUAGCCUCUUUUGGAAUCUUUUGCCUUGUCCCUGAAAUAUUCCUCCAAAGCCCUCUAGGAUCUGAGCUAGCCUAGGAACUCUGGGGGACUGCAGGGGCAGUAUUUCAGUUGGCACCAAUCAUAGGUUUUUAUGCAAUAUUAGAAGCCCACGCAGAAGCUGGAACCCCUAUUUCAGGGUCUCAAAAGCUCUUUGGGAGGUUCAACUACCCUGUCACUUAUCAGCUGCUUUUUCUGGGGCUAUAAGUGUGGGGAAGGGUCGCUAGCUUGCUUGGCGCCUCAUUUGCGAGUGGACUCGGGACAAGGACUCUUGACACUGCUGCUACGGCAACCACAGUCCUAAAGGAAAAAGGUAAGUCCCCCCGUGUUGCGGUUACCCCGGGAAAUAACUCCUUGCUGUCAGGGGAAUUUUACCAUUGUGAUCGUAGAAGCUCCGGGUGCGCUAGGACCCAGUGGACGCCUGUUUGUGUUAAACGCGGUUUGGGUUUUUUUUGGUUUUUUUUUUUUUUUUCUGCCGAACCGGAGCUCCGUCAGUGCGGGGCCGCCCCGGCCGGCAAAGCCCACGUUUUGGGGUGACCAUGACACUGGAUGAGUCCCAGAAGCCAGGCUAAAGCGGCGGGACACCCCCCACUGCCCUUGCAGUCGGGAAAAAAAUCGCAAGAGGCACUCUGCCCGGCGCCGUGGUUUGCCCUGCCUGCCCUGCUGAGUUACAGAGAUCUACUGAUUGGAAAGUCAUUACAGUGGACUUGUCAAACAUCUCACAGGACCUGACGGUUUACCACGUGGGACUGGACAAUGUCUGCCAGCACCUGUCGUGGCAAGUCCCUGGCUUGAAUUUCGGGUCUGUCAUGUGGCAUGUCCCCUGCCACCUGCAACAUGGUGGGAGGAGAAAGUUGAUUGACAGUUGGCUUGACCAAUGUCGUUUGAGAGGUGGAAUUCCAUCCUCCAAUCCACAGACCCCAUAGGAAAUGCUUAAAAUUGAGUUUUGUAAAUAAACUCGUCCCUUUUCCUGCUUUGCUCACCAGCGUGUCCUCGUGUGGUUCUUUUUGUGUCAUCUGUGACAAGCUGCGGCUCACGGUGUUUGAUUUCAAGGCCGCGAUGGGGGGAGGAACUCAUGCUGAGAGAUUGGAGAAUCGGAGCGGCUGGGCAGUCAGAGAUCAUAAAUACGAUAAAAUACUUCUCUGCUCACCCCUCAGUGACAAUUGGGGUGGGCCUGGCCCAGCUCGGAGCUGCUCCCUGGGGUGGGAACAUCUUAACAUCUUACUUGCCUCCUAGCCCCCCCCCCUCCCCGGCCCUGGCGGGUGGCACGAGCAGCUGCCGGGGCGAGCUUAAAACUCACUAGAUGUUAAACUGCAGCUUUCCCCUGCUUUCAGCCAAUGGGGGGUCCCGGAGGCACAACCAGGCCCAGCCAGCCCUCCCCAAGCACAGGGGAGCGGUGGGCCAGGCCGGGCCACCAGGCGGACCAAGACCGGCCCUGUUACCUGUUCCAAUGCAGGAAAGAAAAAGGGCUGGCUUGGACACACUCAGGAUUACAUGGGUAUUUUCCAAAGUCGCAUCUAGCUUCCUCAGUGGUCAAAUAUGUCAAUAUUUAAAAAUGAACUUUGAUAGGUGCCUGUCUCAAAACAAUUCCAAGGUCCUGACAGGGAACUGUUUCCACUUUAACUAAAAACCAAACUGUGUCAACCCAUAACAGGGGUUUAGGCAUGCUUAGGUUUGUGAGUCUUCUUUGGGGACAGUCUCAUAAGUUGAAAAAUCUCUGCAUUAAAUCACAGGUUUUGCUGCAAAGCUUUUGAAUUUUGCAGUCCCUAGUCCUCUGUACUUUCAGGCUAUUUCAAGCAUCAUAUAUUGCACUGGAGUGCAUAGUAAUUUUGCAAUUUGCUUCAUAUCAUAGGGGGUUAGUUUACUAGCAGUUAUAAACUGAAGCAUAUUGUCAACAGCAGGUGAUCCUAGCCCAUGUUUAGCAGUCAG